UGGGGAAUUGGGUGGGGGGCUGCGGACCCCUUAACGUGGAUUACUUGGUGUGUAUCAGCUGGGCUCAGAAGACCCACGACCUCUUCUCCAUCCGUGGAUUGAUUUGUUCUGCUUAACAGCUGGGUCGCCAAGCUGGAGGUGGAAUCAGAGGUUUCUGGCUGACUCGGUGGGUGCUUUGAACCAGGAAAGGACAAGAAAGAGGAUGGGAAGGACUGAUCCACAUUCCCACCAGGAAGUUUAGCAGAACCCCCGCGUGCCACCUGGACCCCUUGGAAGGACCUGGCUCAGGCUGGACCACCUCUUGAGAGGCAGGAGCUCUGGAUUUGAUCAAGAAUUCUUUGCUGAGCAUGGUGCCUCAUGCCUAUAAUCCCAACACUUUGGGAGGCCAGUGUGGGAGGAUCUCUUGAGCCCAGGAGUUCAAGACUAGCCUGGGCAACACAGAGAGACCCCAUCUCUAAAAUAAUAAUAAUAAUAAAAUAAAAAAUUAGCAGGGCAUGGUGGCAUGUGCCUGUAGUCCCAGCUACCCAGGAGGCUGAGGCAAGAGGAUGGCUGGAGCCUGGGAUGUUGAGGCUGCAAUGAACUGUGAUUACCCCACUGCACUCCAGCCUGGGCAAAAGAGCGAGAGACCCUGUCUCAAAUAAUAAUAAUAAUAAUAAUCUUAUUUUGGAGAAUAAAGAGACCUCUGGAUUUGAGGUGCCAUUUGGGUAGAAAGAAAAGACGUUUACACCGAGAAAUAGUCUGUGUUGCCCUGAAGGAGCAGAGGGAUGCAUCGCUGGAGGUGACCUACAGUUGAAGAAGACUCAUUAUGACAGACCUUGUCCUUCUUCCUUGUGGAAAGUGUUUCCUCUGCUGCUACUGCUCAUGAGACUCUUCCCCCUCCCUGUCCCAGGGAACCAAAGGGCUUUCUACCACACCCUUUCUUGCCCCCCGCCUCCCAUGUCUGCUGUGCCUUUGUACUCAGCAAUUCUUGUUUGCUCCAUUAUCUUCCAGCCGGAUACAGAGUGAAUAGUUAACCACACUUAGGUCAAAUAGGAUCUAAAUUUUUGUUCCUGCUCCGUGUAAAGAGGCCAGUGUUUGUGUGUUGCAAGCAGCCUUGGAAUAGUAACUCUUCUCAUUUGUUUGGGAUCUGGCCACCAAGUUCCAGAAUGAUACACGGAUCAGUGCAGAAGUUCAUCAGGCUCUCGGACCUUAGGGCUGUUGGAGAAGGCUUCAGCAGCAGAACUGAUGGUGAAGGCUCGUGUUCUCCAUCCUCAACUUUCUUUGCUUCGAUCAUACACAAGAAUACAUUUGGAAGGGCAAAAAAUGAACACUGUCGUUCAUUGCAGCCGUGUUUUGUGACACAGAUGCACAGUCUGCUGUGAAGACCUUCUCUCAAGUGGCAUUUGGGAGUCCAUGCCAGAUCAUGGUGCUUCAUGAGAGACUGACAGCUAUCAGGGGUUGUGGCACUUAGUGAGGACUCUCCUCCCCCAGUGUGUGCUGAUGACACAUACACACCUGACAAUAGCUUGAGUCUUCUCUGUUCCUUUUACUCUGUAGCCAACAUACACAUGAUUUAAAACCCUUUCUAAAUAUCUAUCAUGGUUCAUCCUUGUCCAAAUGCAGAGUCAGAGCUAUUUGUACUUCAUUAUUAUUUCCAAGGCGAAUAGUUGGCUUUCUUUUUGCAAAAAUAAUUAAAGUUUUUGUAUGUUGCAGUUGC
rnacentral:lncRNA from 1 species